UACGUAGGGUGCAAGCGUUGUCCGGAAUUAUUGGGCGUAAAGAGCUCGUAGGCGGUUUGUCGCGUCGAAUGUGAAAACCCGGGGCUCAACCCCGGGCCUGCAUUCGAUACGGGCAGACUAGAGUUCGGUAGGGGAGUCUGGAAUUCCUGGUGUAGCGGUGAAAUGCGCAGAUAUCAGGAGGAACACCGGUGGCGAAGGCGGGUCUCUGGGACGUUACUGACGCUGAGACGCGAAAGCGUGGGGAGCAAACAGG
rnacentral:rRNA from 1 species